UCUGCCAUAAAUUUCCUUGAGAAAUUUAUCUUUCGCUCUCUCGAAUUCGAAUAACUCUCGGAACUUAUGAAAGGUCGAAAAUUAGUCGACUCGUUACCAGAAUCAUUGAAAGAAAAAGGUCGCCGAUGCCGGAGAGAAGACAACGGUAAAUUGUCAUUUUCCACGGAUUGAUUAAGGUUUACGUCAUCCUCCGAUCCGCCGGUUUCGGCGUCGGAAAAUAUGUCGCCG
rnacentral:misc_RNA from 1 species